rnacentral:rRNA from 1 species
UACGAAGGGGGCUAGCGUUGCUCGGAAUUACUGGGCGUAAAGGGAGCGUAGGCGGAUAGUUUAGUCAGAGGUGAAAGCCCAGGGCUCAACCCUGGAAUUGCCUUUGAUACUGGCGACCUUGAGUUCGGGAGAGGUGAGUGGAACUGCGAGUGUAGAGGUGAAAUUCGUAGAUAUUCGCAAGAACACCAGUGGCGAAGGCGGCUCACUGGCCCGAUACUGACGCUGAGGUGCGAAAGCGUGGGGAGCAAACAGG